CCUACGGGGGACAGCAGUGGGGAAUAUUUCACAAUGGGGGGAACCCUGAUGCAUCGACGCCGCGUGAGUGAAGAAGUAUUUCGGUAUUUAAAGCUCUAUCAGCAGGGAAGAAAAUUACGGUACCUGACUAAGACGCCCCGGCUAACUACGUGCCAGCAGCCGCCGUAAUACGUAGGGGGCAAGCGUUAUCCGGAUUUACUGGGUGUAAAGGGAGCGUAGACGGCAGAGCAAGUCUUAAGUGAAAGCCCGCGGCCCAACUGCGGGACUGCAUUGGAAACUGCCCGGCUAGAGUGCUGGAGAGGUAAGCGGAAUUCCUAGGGUAGCGGUGAAAUGCGUAGAUAUUAGGAGGAACACCAGUGGCGAAGGCGGCUUACUGGACAGGAACUGACGUUGAGGCUCGAAAGCGUGGGGAGCAAACAGGAUUAGAUACCCGGGUAGUC
rnacentral:rRNA from 1 species